AUUGAACGCUGGCGGCAGGCUUAACACAUGCAAGUCGAGCGAGCGGCGGACGGGUGAGUAAUGUCUGGGAAACUGCCUGAUGGAGGGGGCUAACUACUGGAAACGGUAGCUAAUACCGCAUACCAUCAGAUGUGCCCAGAUGGGAUUAGCUAGUAGGUGGGGUAAUGGUUCACCAAGGCGAAGAUCCCUAGCUGGUCUGAGAGGAUGACCAGCCACAAUGGAACUUGGACACGGUCCAGACGCCUACGGGAGGCAGCAGUAGGGAAUAGUGCACAAUGGGCGCAAGUCUGAUACAGCCAUGCCGCGUGAGUGAAGAAGGCUUUCGGGUUGUAAAGCACUUGCAGCGAGGAGGCGUUAAUCGCAGAAGAAGCACCGGCUAACUCCGUGCCAGCAGCCGCGGUAAUAC
rnacentral:rRNA from 1 species